UAGAGUUGUAGGCUUUGCCUACCAUCUCUUACCCAUGUCUUUUAAGUACCUUCGUUUCCUCGGCGCGCUCUCAGCCGCCGAUCGGACAAUUUAAACCAUUUGCAGUUGCAAUCAGCGUCUGAAAAAACAUAAUAAUUACAACUUUCAACAACGGAUCUCUUGGUUCU
rnacentral:misc_RNA from 1 species